rnacentral:rRNA from 1 species
UACGUAGGGGGCAAGCGUUGUCCGGAUUUAUUGGGCGUAAAGCGCACGCAGGCGGUCUUUCGCGUUUUGAGUGACAGGUGGGGGCUUAACUCCCACAGGCCUCAGAAGACGGGAAGACUUGAGGGCUUCAGAGGGACGCGGAAUUCCAGGUGGAGCGGUGAAAUGCGUUGAUAUCUACAGGAACUCCGGUGGCGAAAGCGGCGUGCUGGACCUUUUCUGACGCUGAGGCGCGAAAGCUAGGGGAGCAAACGGG